rnacentral:lncRNA from 1 species
GACAAGCUGCUGUAUUUUCUGUAGAAUUGCUGAAGAUGAGAGAUGCUAUUCUGGUUUGGAUGCUGCCCUUAUAUAGCUGGAGAAUCCCAAUUCCAAUUUGAUUAGGGUUUUGAAAUCUCAAUUUGAUUUGGUCUUCUUUGUAGUCUUUGAUUCCUCUUUGGACUUUGUAUUUGAUUGAGAAUGGAACUCUCUAAGUGAA